AUUGAACGCUGGCGGCAGGCCUAACACAUGCAAGUCGAACGGUAACAGGAAGACGCUUGCUUCUUUGCUGACGAGUGGCGGACGGGUGAGUCAUGUCUGGGCAACUGCCUGAUGGAGGGGGAUAACUACUGGAAACGGUAGCUAAUACCGCAUAACGUCGCAAGACCAAAGAGGGGGACCUUCGGGCCUCUUGCCAUCGGAUGUGCCCAGAUGGGCUGAGCUAGAAGGUGGGGUAACGGCUCACCUAGGCGACGAUCCCUAGCUGGUCUGAGAGGAUGACCAGCCACACUGGAACGGAGACACGGUCCAGACUCCUACGGGAGGCAGCAGUGGGGAAUAUUGCACAAUGGGCGCAAGCCUGAUGCAGUCAUGCCGCGUGUAUGAAGAAGGCCUUGGGGUUGUAAAGUACUUUCAGCGGGGAGGAAGGGAGUAAAGUUAAUACCUUGGCUCAUUGACGUUACCCGCAGAAGAAGCACCGGCUAACUCCGUG
rnacentral:rRNA from 1 species